UACAGAGGGGGCAAGCGUUGUUCGGAAUUACUGGGCGUAAAGGGCGCGUAGGCGGCCUUCUAAGUCGAACGUGAAAUCCCCGGGCUCAACCCGGGAACUGCGUCCGAUACUGGAAGGCUUGAAUUCGGAAGAGGCGAGUGGAAUUCCCGGUGUAGCGGUGAAAUGCGCAGAUAUCGGGAGGAACACCUAUGGCGAAGGCAGCUCGCUGGGACGUUACUGACGCUGAGACGCGAAAGCGUGGGGAGCAAACAGG
rnacentral:rRNA from 1 species